ensembl:snoRNA SNORA73 Small nucleolar RNA SNORA73 family
CCAACGUGGAUACCCUGGGAAGUCACUCUCCCUGGACUUUGUCCAGGUGGCACAGGGGAGCAUAGAGUUCUGCCCAGUGAUGUACCGUCCCAUUCCAUGACACUGGAGAUGAAUUCGGGUCUUGAGCCUGCACCUGCAUAUUCCUACAGCUUCUCAGAGUCCUGCCGACAAGGACCAAGGAGACAAACCAUGCAGGAAACAGCC